AGAGUUUGAUCCUGGCUCAGAAUCAACGCUGGCGGCGUGCCUCAGACAUGCAAGUCGAACGCGAAAGUUCCCUUCGGGGGGCGAGUAGAGUGGCGCACGGGUGAGUAACACGUAGGUAAUCUACCUUUGGAUUGGGAAUAACAACCGGAAACGGUUGCUAAUACCGAAUAAUGCAGCGGCACCUAAUGGUGACAGUUGUUAAAGCGGGGGAUCGCAAGACCUCGCGUCUGAAGAGGAGCCUGCGGCGGAUUAGCUAGUUGGUAGGGUAACGGCUUACCAAGGCGAUGAUCCGUAGCCGGCCUGAGAGGGCGGUCGGCCACACUGACACUGACAUACGGGUCAGACUCCUACGGGAGGCAGCAGUGGGGAAUAUUGGACAAUGGGCGCAAGCCUGAUCCAGCCAUACCGCGUGGGUGAAGAAGGCCUUCGGGUUGUAAAGCCCUUUUGUUGGGAAAGAAAUCCAGCCGGCUAAUACCUGGUUGGGAUGACGGUACCCAAAGAAUAAGCACCGGCUAACUUCGUGCCAGCAGCCGCGGUAAUAC
rnacentral:rRNA from 1 species